AAACAGAAAAGGAAAGGUCCCAUUAUCAAGACCUCCAAGGACAAGAACCAGUGAAGCCUGGGCCAUUGUGAGGAGUGAGUGAGCUAAUGCAUGCUCACCUCAUGGUGGGAGCAAGCCAUUGCCUCCCUCUCAGAGGACCUGGUGGAGAGAAGGUUGACAGCUUGGCAUUCCUCUGUAGAAUGGCUUUUGACUUUGCACUGCCAUCCACAGAAGAGCUCCCUAACCUCACCCGAGGGCACGGAAUGGCCUUUCCUUAAAGGUGAAGCACAGCAUCAUUCUCAAGUGCCUUUGCAAAUAACGAAGACCGAACUGGUCAUUUACCCAGGCUGAGCCAGACCUAUAUGAUACAUCAAAAGCAGAACAGAAAGAAAGGGAAUGAGAGAAUCCAAAUGAGUUUAUUUGUCCAUUAAAUAAAUAAGCAAAAUUAUGCAGAUGUGGAA